rnacentral:rRNA from 1 species
AUGGCGGAGGCGGCGCCGCCGAAGCUGCUCUACAUUGCCGUCGCCGACGGCGGCGGCCGGCGGGCGUUCCGGUACACGCGCCCCGUCCUGCAGAGCACCCUCCAGCUCAUGGGUUGCAAGGCUCGCCACGCCUUCAAGAUUAGCAAGAAAGUAUUCAGUGUGAUGAGGAGUGAAUUCUUGGAUGCAUCGAGGUCGGAUAGGGCUGUCAAAGAAGAAAAUGCUCCUAGCCUGGGCAUUGGGGAAGAUGCUAAUAUGCUUAGCACAGAAAUUCCAGAUGCAAGUAGCAGCAGCAUGCCCUUCGAAUUGUACAAGACACAGACAACAAUUCUUAUUUCAAGAGAAAAGUUUCUGAAUAUUGUGUGUGAUGCACUCUCUUCUUACAAGUAUGUUGGACCAAACCAGAAGGCUGACUUGCUUCUUGCUUGCAGAAUUAAGGAGAAAAAGGAAUCAGUGACAGUACUCUUGUGUGGGACAAGCGGGUGUGGCAAGUCCACUCUAUCAUCUUUGUUGGGUAGUAGAUUGGGCAUUACGACAGUAGUUUCUACUGAUUCCAUACGCCAUAUGAUGAGAAGCUUUGCGGAUGAAAAGCAAAAUCCUCUUCUCUAUGCAUCAACCUACCAUGCAGGCGAAUACUUGGACCCUGUUGCAGUUGCUAAGUCAAAGGCAAAGAAGCUAGCAACGGUUUCUCAUACCAAUGGAGGCAAAGAUGGCACUUCAGAUGUUAAAUCUCAUCAUGGCUCCUCAGAUUUACCUCCUAGAACCGAGUUGAUUGGCAACAAACAAAUGGCAAUAGAAGGGUUCAAGGUGCAAAGCGAGAUGGUCAUUGACAGCCUGGACAGAUUAAUUACAUCAUGGGAGGAGCAGAAGCGAUCUGUUAUUGUUGAAGGAGUUCAUUUGAGCCUCAAUUUUGUGAUGGGGCUAAUGAAGAAACAUCCUUCCAUAAUACCAUUUAUGGUAUACAUUGCAAAUGAGGAGAAGCACAUGGAGCGAUUUGCUGUACGUGCAAAGUACAUGACAUUGGACCCGGCAAAGAACAGAUAUAUCAAGUACAUCCGGAAUAUCCGGGCUAUCCAGGAAUACCUUUGCAACCGAGCGGACAAGCAUCUGGUGCCUAAGAUUAACAAUACUAAUGUUGACCAGAGCGUGGCAGCCAUACAUGCCACAGUUUUCAGCUGUCUUCGUCGACGAGAAGUUGGGGAGCAGUUGUAUGAUCUCAACACAAACACUGUUUCUGUGGUGGAUGAGGAAUACAGGAACCAGCGUGCAUCUAACUCCUUGGGUUCCAAGGGCAUGUUCCAGUUCAUUCAAAGGAAGGGGUCUUCUAGGAAUCUGAUGGCUCUCCUUAACCCUGAUGGUUCAGUCACCAAGGCUUGGCAUGUAGAUUCAUGUGACGGCAAUGCCAAUGGCAGUAGAAGCAGUGAUAAAUCAGUAGGAAAGGUUAACCCAUCACACAUUGGGAAGGUAGAGUCAGUAAAUCUCCAAUUUGGUUCCUUCGGGAUUAGUGCGUGGCUGAGUGAUACAGGUGGCACCAGCCAUACUGGGAGUGUAGAUGACCUGAGGGCUGAUGGCAUUGAGACAGGCGGUAGAUACUUCUCCUCAUGCUGCAGCUCGCCAAAGACAUCAGAUUGCGCAUCCAAAGAGCAUAUGGAGGAUUAUUCAGUCUAUGGUAGUGAAGAAGAAGCUGACAACCCACCUGAUGCUGAAACUGAUGAGGAUCUAACUGAUGAAGAAAGAGAUGUUCAUGAGGUAAUUGAAGCGGGCUCGGUCGACGAGCAUUCCACCAAGUCUGACGAGGAAUACGACGACCUAGCCAUGCAGGACGUCAUGGAGAACGGUAACUGCUCCGACGAUGACGACGAGCAAGCUGUGCGGUUCAGCAAGAGGAGCUCGCCGCCUCUGGAUGAGAGCAUCCUCGGAGCAGCUGACGGUGAUGAUGCCGUGGUGGAGGGAAGGUACCACCACAACCUGGACUUCUUCACGAUAUCCAAGGACAUGGCUGUCACGCGGAUGCCGUGCGCGUGA